rnacentral:rRNA from 1 species
UAAGGGAUAUUGCACAAUGGGGGGAAACCCUGAUGCAGCAACGCCGCGUGAGGGAAGAAGGUUUUCGGAUUGUAAACCUCUGUUUUUAGUGAAGAAACAAAUGACGGUAGCUAAAGAGGAAGCCACGGCUAACUACGUGCCAGCAGCCGCGGUAAUACGUAGGUGGCAAGCGUUGUCCGGAUUUACUGGGUGUAAAGGGUGCGCAGGCGGGAUUGCAAGUUGGAUGUGAAAUACCGGAGCUCAACUCCGGAGCUGCAUCCAAAACUGUAGUUCUUGAGUGAAGUAGAGGUAGGCGGAAUUCCGAGUGUAGCGGUAAAAUGCGUAGAUAUUCGGAGGAACACCAGUGGCGAAGGCGGCCUACUGGGGCUUUAACUGACGCUGAGGCACGAAAGCAUGGGGAGCAAACAGGAUUAGAUACCCUGGUAGU